rnacentral:rRNA from 1 species
GACGACGCUGGCGGCGUGGAUUAGGCAUGCAAGUCGAACGGUAUCAUCCUUCGGGGGUGAGAGAGUGGCGAACUGGUGAGUAACACGUAGGUUAUCUACCCUCAAGACGGGGACAACCCAGGGAAACUUGGGCUAAUACCGGAUGUGAGCAACUUUUAGUUGUUUGAAAGGUGGCGUAAGCUGUCGCUUGGGGAUGAGCCUGCGUCCUAUUAGUUAGUUGGUGAGGUAACGGCUCACCUAGGCAAUGAUAGGUAGGCGGCCUUAACGGGUGGUCGCCCACACUGGGAUUGAGAUACGGCCCAGACUCCUACGGGAGGCAGCAGUCGAGAAUAGUCUACAAUGGUCGGAAGACUGAUAGUGCGACGCCGCGUGAACGAUGAAUCCCUUCGGGGUGUAAAGUUCUUUUAUAUGUGAGCAGUGCUUCUUAUAUUAACAGUAUGGGGAGAGAGAUAUUAGCAUAUGAAUAAGCAACGGCUAACUCCGUG